AUCAUACUUGCACUCUUGUGACCAUGUAAAUUCCUUGCUGGAGACCAUGGGAGCAAGGAAAAGAGAAAGAAAAGCCAAAAAGGGAAUGCUAGAGCUGGGAAGAGAGACAAAGCCAUGGCAGACCCUAACCCAGGGAGCCUGUGAGGAUGAAGACAGCUCAUCCAAGACUCUGUGUGGCCCCUUGAAGGCUAAUGAGCUCUGCUGAAUCCCAGUAGUCAAUGGGUGUCCCCCUCCCUGGACAUCUGAGCUAAGAGGUAUUGGGGAAAAGCCUCCAAUUUCACACACUUUGUGACCCAGUUUCUAUCUGGCUGACCGAAGCUCUUCUCACUCUGGACGACGGGUCUGAAAGCCGCUUAGUAGAAUGGUGGAGAGUUACACGAACCUACUUUCACAUUAAUUGAAUUCCCUUCCGUUGGGCUUCUGCAAACGAACUUGUGUUUUAAGUGCUACAUUUUACUUCACUAGUAGGAACUCAGCUGGGUGAAGGAACACUGCUGACUUGAAGGGAUUUUCUACAGUGGACCUAGAAGUGUGGGUUUGGUCUUGCAGGAGGUGAUGGGAGGAAAGGACCCAAGGAGGCUGUGUGUGCAGGUAAUGCUUCCACCAGAACCCUCUGCCUUACCUGCACCACGGGCUUCCAAAUCUGGGUGAAUCACCUUUGGGUGGCUCUGUGGUUGUACAGAUGACGGUCCAACUAGACCAACCAGACGAACUCUUCAGGAAGUGGAGCUCAGGAAUCUGAUUUUCAACAAUCUCACCAGCUAUCUGGCGCAGCUCACUCAUGACCCUUUCUUCAGGAAUCCACUGCCUUGGGGCAUUCCAUCCUUGCUCUGUAAGAAAUACCAAGUGAUUUUCAACAGUUGCAGGAAUUUUCCUGGCAAGGCCUAUAAGAAUGGGGGUGAGGGCUUGCUGAUCGGGGAAAAAAAAAAUGUUCUAAAAUUGUCAUUUGUUUUCACUGUGAUAUUUAUUUGUAAUAUCACAUCGCAUAAAAACUUCACAUAAAAUGGGUGUCUUUAGCAGAAAAAUUUUGGAUCAAAAAUGACUGAGAAACUUCACAGCCUGGGAUGAUGCUACACUUUAGUUCUGCAAAAUUGGUCUUAUCAGUUUUACCAGAGUGCCACCUCUUUGAAACUAAGUCCUUUAGUGUUUAAGCUCUAGACAAGUGCAAACUCUGGUACCAUGAGCUCCCCUUGGGGAGACACGGUGGUCCCUGCAUUAAUUAAGGAGAGCACACAGCAUCCAGGUCAGAACAUUAGAUUCCCCAAUGCUGCCUGCCAGAGAAGGGGGCUUCCUUUUCCUUCACGCCCUCUCCAAAACCUGGGGAGCCAAGGUGUACAUUUCCCAGGGAAUAAUAGGAAAACAUCUAUAUCACAGAGAGACUAGCUCAGGAAGCAAUUCUCUUCUCUAACCUCUAGCAAAAAAACCAAACAUCAAAACCCACAAAGCUGAGAGCCAACAUCAGGCACACACCUAAACAGAUUUCUUUUCUAGCCCACAGCCCUCUUCUUUUAAAAACCUUGGGAGACACAGAGUGAAUAAUUUGGGCAGCAAGUGGGAAGAUCAAGUCUAAGCUCUCCAACCCCUCUGAACCUGUCUUCUCAUUUCUAAAGGGGAACUAGUGAUCCCACCCAUAGAAAUGUAUAAUAAUGGGCAAGAUGGGCAUAGCUCCUCAGCUACCUUCUACCCAGGGAGGGAGACAGCAAAAGCAGAAACAGGAUGAAUACAUAAAAUUAUUGCAAGUUUUGAAUUUUUUUAAAAGAUUUAUUUAUUUAUUUGAGAGAGAGAGAGAGAAAGCGAGCAUGGGGGAAGGGGAGGGGCAGAGGAAGAGAAAGAGAAUCUCGAGCAGACUCUCUGCUGAGCAUGGAGCCCCAUUCAGGGCUUGAUCCCAUGACCCUGAGAUCAUGACCCAAGCUGAAACCAAGAGUCGGACAUUCAACCAACUGAGCCACCCAGGUACCCCAUAAAAUGAAUGCAAGCUUUAGAAGGGCUGUGCAAGAAACUGAAGGGCUGAUGUAGAGUUAUCACGAAGAGGGCCACCCACAAAGAGGGUUUGAAUUCUAAUUGCUCUGCUGAUUUUCCUCAGGGAAAUAUUUGAACUUCACUGUCUAUUUCCUCACCUACAAAAAGGGACAGUAAUCCACAAUGGAACAUCCUUCAGCCUUAAAAAAGAAGGAAAUUCUUUUGCAUGCUGCAACAUGAUGAACCUUGACAAUGUUAUGCCAAGGGAAAUGAGCUAGUCACAAAAAGCAUGUAUGCAUGUAUGAUUCUACUUGUAGGAGGUCCCUAGAGCCAUCAAUUUCACAGAGAUAGGAAGUAAAAGGAUGGUUUCCAGGGGCUGGAGGGAGGAGAGAAUGGGGAGUUGUUUAAUGGGUACAGAGAGUCAGUUUUGCAAUAUGGAAAGGGUUCUGGAGAUGGAUGGAGGUAAGAGUCGCACAAUGAUGUAAAUACAAUUAAUAUAACUGAACUGUACACUUAAAAAUGGUAAAGAUGGAAAAUUUUAUAUGUUUUUAUCACAAUUUUUUAAAUGAAUGAAGAAAAAGGGAUAGUAAUACCUACCUCAUGGGGUUGGUAGGAGAAAAUAAAAUCGCAUAAAACAUUUAACACAGUGCAGAUCCUUCUUUCCCCCCUACACACACACACACACACACACACACACACACACACACACACUCCUUCUGCUCAGCUGUUUUCUCAGACUCCCCUGCCAAAUUUCCUUAUAGCAUAGACACCAACAGUAAGAACAAGCCAUGCUCAAUGGCUUCUGUCCUCAGGAGUCUCCUCAGGCUGCAUUCUGGAAGAUUCUUCCAUCUUCUGUCUUUCCUUACAUGAAUUCUCAUUCCAAGGCAUUUCAAGACACUCUGAGAAUAAUGGUUCUUAACUUGGGAAUAUCUGCUCUUCAGUUUCUGAAAACAAUUUAUUCCUCUAGUCAGACCCAGAGUUUUGAAAGACCAAACUGACAAGACAUUUAUGAAUGCAACACAUAGUUAGAGGGCCUCUAUUAUGCAUGAGGCUCUCUGCAGCUGGAAACAUAAGAUCCCUUGCUUUUUCCUACUCUAAACAAGCAGUGGGUUCCUAAAUUGUUCAAGAAGUAUGGAAAAGUACAUUGUCUCACAUCCCAAUCAGUUGUUGAAUGCCCUUUGGAACUACUCUGAUUCCUUCACAACCCCAUCCUACCCUUCUCUUCCUGCAUGAAUGUACCUUGGGAUCUGACAGGAUGUGGCCUUUCAUGUAGUGAUUUGAUUGCAUUUCUUUCUCUUGUCUCAUUUUCCAAACUUCUGAAAUCUAAGACAAUAAUUAACACACUUCUAUAAUAACAAAGUAUUUUUAAAUGACUGUGCUUGUAUAUGCUUUUAAAUGAGUUCAUAUACUUAGGAAGAAAUCAAUAGAUAAGUUUCUUAGUAUGAGGCAGAUAAUAGUGGGUGGGUUUUUUUUGAAGCUGUGACUAGAUCUAUUACUUGCAGAAUCCUAAAAUUUAGACAUGGUGGGGACUAUUGACUCUGAGCUGUAUAUAAUGACACAUAAUAAUGUCUACUAUUUCUAUAAUAAGUACUUUAAACUUAAUAAAGUGUUUUUGGAUACAUUAA